rnacentral:snRNA from 1 species
CAUUGUGAUCUGGGUGCUGUCAUCUGUCACCCCAUUGCUCCCCAGGGUUGAUUUGGCUGAUCUGGCUGGCUAGGCAGGUGUCCCCUUCCUCCCUCAACAUACCACAUCCAUCCGUCCCAAUGCUGCAUGCUCGGUCAAAGAGGACGACCUUCCCUGAUAGAGGAGGACCGGGCUUCCGUCACGGAUAUCUGAGUAGGUCUGCUCCCCUACUAGAACCUCCAAACACACUUCUCAAAGCAACAUUGUAUAGAAUAAUACAAAAAUCAUUCUUGCUGGGCGUGGUGGUGCACGCCUUUAAUCCCAG